UCUAAACCCAUUGAACAUAAUGAUCCAACGCCAUCUCCCAAUCUUGAGUUCCUUGUAUUUGAGGCAGAGGAAGAUGAUGUUGAAGGGGAUUCCUGACGAGAUUACCCAUCUCCUUGAGCACGAAAGGAGCUCAUUCAGCUGUAUCAUGAGAAUCAGCAAAACAGUCAAACUGGGGCAUUGCAAAUGCAAUCAAAAGAAAAAAGAAAGAGGGUGAAAAAGAAAAAAAAUCAAAAAUCAGGAAAAAAAUUUCAAAUUUUUUUCAAAAGAAAAAAGAAAAAGUAUACCCUCAAGUCCCUAAGUUGACUGAUGCUGAAUGGAUUCAGAGUCGUUAUGACCAGCUGAAUUUGAUUGAAGAGAAGCGAU
rnacentral:lncRNA from 1 species